rnacentral:tmRNA from 1 species
GGGGCUGCACGGCUUCGACGAGGAGGGCUGUGCGCACGUGGCAAGCCGCGGCGCCUGACCGCGUUAAAACGGGCACAAGUGUAUGUGCGAACAACCGCACCAACUUGGCGGCAUUGCCGCUCGCUGCCUAAACGGCAGUUAGCAAAUGCUAACCAGGUCCGCAGUUAAAUCUGCGGCGUCCGCAUAUGGGUUCUCCCGAAACGCGUAUGUUGGGCGUCACCAAGUCGGGAUAUCUCGCUCGCAACGCCGGUAGCGAGCGACGAAAACUGCCGGCUCGGCGCAAGCGUCUCUGCCGCUCGAGUCCGUUUGCGCGAGUAAAUCGGACGGAACAUGCAAAUGUUCGGUUCGACCCAAAGAACGGCUAAGCUUGUAGUCAUUUGUGUACGAACUUUUCGGACGCGAGUUCAAUUCUCGCCAGCUCCAC